rnacentral:lncRNA from 1 species
CUACAGAGAGAACUGGAUGAGAUAAUUCAGGAGCAGGGCUGGCACAGAGCAAAUGCUCAUUCCUUAAGUCUUGAUCAGAGACAAUUAUGACAAAUUGCUUUCACUUUCUAUUUCUGUUGACUUCCACGACAGCCCUAUCUGGCAAAUAUUAUAAUCCCCAUUUUACAGAUGGGGAAACUGAGGCUCAGAGAGCUCAAGUGAUUUGCCCAAGCAGUGCUAGUAAGUGACGGAGCUGCGACUCAGACACUCGCUGGCCUGACUGCUGAGUCUGUGUUCUUCUAGCGACAGAAACCACACGGGGCCUGGAAGUCAAGGUCACCAAGAAUGCUGACUGGCUUCUAGAAGAUAAAGAAAAUGAGAAUCUCAGCCAUAAAAAAAGACAAAGCCAUGCCAUUUUCAAGAACAUGGAUGGACCUUGAGGUUUCAUGUGCAGCCAGCAACCGUAGAAUUAUGAGGCCCUGAAACUGCUUCACAAAUAACCAAGAGGGCUGAGUUCCUGAGGAAGGAAGAAAUUGCAUAAUAAAACAAUCCGAAAACUCCCCUCUUGUUCUGGUCUUAGGGAGUGGCACAAAUUCAAAGCUUCAGGACGGCCCCUCCCUGGCUCUGCGGCGCAUCUCCCACCUUUGAACAGCCAGAGAGCACUUUCUCCCAGGGUCACCAACUUGUCCCAGUUUGCCUGGGACCGUCCCAGUUUUAAAAUCGAAAAUCCAAUAUUCCAAGACCCCCCCGCCUUGGUCCUAGGCAAACCAGGACAGUUGGUCACCCCACUCUCACUGUACUUUUAAUAUUUUCUGCCUUAAAAAUUCCUUGGUGAUUAAGAAUUUAGGCUCUAGAGUCAGACAGACCACAGCUGAGUUCUGCUUCUAACCCUGAUCAGCUGUGCAGCAUCAGUUUACAAGACCUGGAACAUUGGGUUACAUCAAAGUAAGGAUGGAGCUGAUGAAAGGACAGCAAUUGGGCAUCUACAUUGACGGUGACCGAGAGUGAAGCUUGUACCAACUUGUUUCAGAACUUCCACUUUCGUCAGACCGGUGUCACAUGCGGGUCUCCUCAAAAGCUGAGGCCCUUGCUUGCUCAUCACUGCAUUCCUCAAAUCUUCAGGGCAACGCGACGAUCAACGCUCACCAGCACUCACUGAUGUGGACAGUGCGCGAACAG